rnacentral:rRNA from 1 species
CCUACGGGGGGCAGCAGUGGGGAAUUUUGGACAAUGGGCGAAAGCCUGAUCCAGCAAUGCCGCGUGUGUGAUGAAGGCCUUCGGGUUGUAAAGCACUUUUGGCGGGAACGAAAGGGACUGUGCCAAUACCACGGUUCGAUGACGGUACCCGCAGAAUAAGCACCGGCUAACUACGUGCCAGCAGCCGCGGUAAUACGUAGGGUGCAAGCGUUAAUCGGAAUUACUGGGCGUAAAGAGUGCGCAGGCGGUUUUGCAAGACCGAUGUGAAAUCCCCGGGCUUAACCUGGGAACUGCAUUGGUGACUGCAAGGCUAGAGUGUGUCAGAGGGAGGUGGAAUUCCGCAUGUAGCAGUGAAAUGCGUAGAUAUGCGGAGGAACACCGAUGGCGAAGGCAGCCUCCUGGGAUAACACUGACGCUCAUGCACGAAAGCGUGGGGAGCAAACAGGAUUAGAUACCCCGGUAGUC